UGGGGAAUUUUGGACAAUGGGCGAAAGCCUGAUCCAGCAAUGCCGCGUGUGUGAAGAAGGCCUUCGGGUUGUAAAGCACUUUUGUCCGGAAAGAAAUCCUUGGCUCUAAUACAGUCGGGGGAUGACGGUACCGGAAGAAUAAGCACCGGCUAACUACGUGCCAGCAGCCGCGGUAAUACGUAGGGUGCAAGCGUUAAUCGGAAUUACUGGGCGUAAAGCGUGCGCAGGCGGUUUGCUAAGACCGAUGUGAAAUCCCCGGGCUCAACCUGGGAACUGCAUUGGUGACUGGCAGGCUAGAGUAUGGCAGAGGGGGGUAGAAUUCCACGUGUAGCAGUGAAAUGCGUAGAGAUGUGGAGGAAUACCGAUGGCGAAGGCAGCCCCCUGGGCCAAUACUGACGCUCAUGCACGAAAGCGUGGGGAGCAAACAGGAUUAGAUACCCUGGUAGUCCACGCCCUAAACGAUGUCAACUAGUUGUUGGGGAUUCAUUUCCUUAGUAACGUAGCUAACACGUGAAGUUGACCGCCUGGGGAGUACGGUCGCAAGAUUAAAACUUAAAUGAAUUGACGGGGUCAUAGCUGUUUCCU
rnacentral:rRNA from 1 species